UGGCGGACGGGUGAGUAAUGUCUGGGGAAACUGCCUGAUGGAGGGGGAUAACUACUGGAAACGGUAGCUAAUACCGCAUAACGUCGCAAGACCAAAGAGGGGGACCUUCGGGCCUCUUGCCAUCGGAUGUGCCCAGAUGGGAUUAGCUAGUAGGUGGGGUAACGGCUCACCUAGGCGACGAUCCCUAGCUGGUCUGAGAGGAUGGCCAGCCACACUGGAACUGAGACACGGUCCAG
rnacentral:rRNA from 1 species